GCCCGAGUGGCGGAACUGGUAGACGCGCUGGAUUCAAAAUCCAGUGGUAGCAAUACCGUGCCGGUUCGAUUCCGGCCUCGGGUA
rnacentral:tRNA from 4 species